AACGAACGCUGGCGGCAGGCUUAACACAUGCAAGUCGAACGCCUGUAGCAAUACAGGAGUGGCAGACGGGUGAGUAACACGUGGGAACGUGCCCAAAGGUACGGAACAACUCCGGGAAACUGGAGCUAAUACUGUAUGUGCCCGAAAGGGGAAAGAUUUAUCGCCUUUGGAUCGGCCCGCGUCUGAUUAGCUAGUUGGUGGGGUAAUGGCCUACCAAGGCGACGAUCAGUAGCUGGGCUGAGAGGAUGGCCAGCCACACUGGGACGGAGACACGGACCAGACUCCUACGGGAGGCAGCAGUGGGGAAUAUUGGACAAUGGGCGCAAGCCUGAUCCAGCCAUGCCGCGUGAGUGAUGAAGGCCUUAGGGUUGUAAAGCUCUUUCGCCAGGGACGAUAAUGACGGUACCUGGAUAAGAAGCCCCGGCUAACUUCGUGCCAGCCGCCGCGGUAA
rnacentral:rRNA from 1 species